rnacentral:rRNA from 1 species
UACGUAGGGGGCAAGCGUUGUCCGGAUUCAUUGGGCGUAAAGAGCUCGUAGGCGGUUCAGUAAGUCGGGUGUGAAAGCUCCGAGCUCAACUCGGAGAGGCCACCCGAUACUGCUGUGACUUGAGUCCAGUAGAGGAGCGUGGAACUCCUGGUGUAGCGGUGGAAUGCGCAGAUAUCAGGAAGAACACCUGCAGCGAAGGCAGCUCGCUGGGACGUUACUGACACUGAGGCGCGAAAGCGUGGGGAGCGAACAGG